UUUGUGCCUGUGAUGGUUUAUAAAUAUACUUUGAGUAAUUCAACUAUGAAAACAAUUAAAUCUGAGGCUCCUU
rfam:Daucus carota subsp. sativus cultivar DH1 chromosome 6, whole genome shotgun sequence.